AUUGAACGCUGGCGGCAGGCCUAACACAUGCAAGUCGAGCGGAUGAAAGGAGCUUGCUCCUGGAUUCAGCGGCGGACGGGUGAGUAAUGCCUAGGAAUCUGCCUGGUAGUGGGGGACAACGUUUCGAAAGGAACGCUAAUACCGCAUACGUCCUACGGGAGAAAGCGGGGGACCUUCGGGCCUUGCGCUAUCAGAUGAGCCUAGGUCGGAUUAGCUAGUUGGUGAGGUAAUGGCUCACCAAGGCGACGAUCCGUAACUGGUCUGAGAGGAUGAUCAGUCACACUGGAACUGAGACACGGUCCAGACUCCUACGGGAGGCAGCAGUGGGGAAUAUUGGACAAUGGGCGAAAGCCUGAUCCAGCCAUGCCGCGUGUGAAGAAGGUCUUCGGAUUGUAAAGCACUUUAAGUUGGGAGGAAGGGUUGUAGAUUAAUACUCUGCAAUUUUGACGUUACCGACAGAAUAAGCACCGGCUAACUCUGUGCCAGCAGCCGCGGUAAUACAGAGGGUGCAAGCGUUAAUCGGAAUUACUGGGCGUAAAGCGCGCGUAGGUGGUUUGUUAAGUUGGAUGUGAAAUCCCCGGGCUCAACCUGGGAACUGCAUCCAAAACUGGCAAGCUAGAGUAUGGUAGAGGGUGGUGGAAUUUCCUGUGUAGCGGUGAAAUGCGUAGAUAUAGGAAGGAACACCAGUGGCGAAGGCGACCACCUGGACUGAUACUGACACUGAGGUGCGAAAGCGUGGGGAACAAACAGG
rnacentral:rRNA from 1 species